rnacentral:tRNA from 1 species
CGGAAGGGGGUCGGCCGGUAAGAUUCUCGGUUUGGGUCCGAGAGAUAGCGGGUUCGAUUCCUGUCCUUCCGA